CAUAUUUUAAAACCUUCAAACGUGUUAAGUUGCCUGUUACACAGAGCUAACUUAUUGAAAGGUUUCUGUUCGCUUAGAUUAGUGGAUUUGUGUGUUGUGUUUUGGCUUCGUGAACAGAAGAUUCAGGAGACUGGAAUUUCCAUUCUACUUUCACAAUGACGGUGUAUAAAUGGGAACAAGUCACUGAGUAUUUUAUCUGUAAGUCUUUGGAUAAAAUGUACUGCAUCCAAGGGUGACUUGGCUCAAAAUUUGUCACUAUGGACUGCCAAGGUUCAUUUGACAGACUUGGCCAACUUGUGCCACUGAUGUCUUCCCUUAGCCUCUCCUCUCCAGAAUUUUUCCAGGAGGGAAUCAGAUACUGGUACUUGUGUCUACCAAACUCCAGAGAACCCUAGCCAAGCCAUCCAAGUAAUUUUCUUGAAUCUUCAUAUUUGGAUCAAGUAGGCUCCACACCCAACAUGGAGCCCAACAUGGUGUUUGAAUUCACCACCCUGAGAUCAAGACCUGAUCUGAGAUCAAGAGUCGGAGGCUCAACUGAUUGGGUCAGCCAGACAUCCCUCCCAGAAUAACUCUAAAGGUUGGUUAUAUCACAAAGAAAUCUCUCCAAAUUCAUUUGGCAGUAUUUAGAUCAGAAACAAAUCAAGAGAAACCAGCAACUUCAUAACUUUUGAAAUACUCCAUGCUAUGUCCUAUCAGUGUCAAGGUCUGAACUAGCCUAGGUCACAGAUAGGCUAUUAGUUAGGGUGGUCUUUUUUUAAUAAAUGAUUCUUUUCACCAGAAGAUCUGCUAAUGCAUGAUGAAAUGACACCUUUUAAAAUGUAAACAGUCACAUCUUGGGUUAUGGACAUUGGGGAAGGUAUGUGCUAUGA